rnacentral:sRNA from 1 species
UUUCUGUCUUUACAUAUCAUAAGAUACUAUGAUGAUUGUGAGCACUCCAUAUUGCACAUUAGUUAGUAUAUUAAAAAAAUUCUUAAUACAAAUUUUCUCAUUAGAACUUGAUCAUGAAAAUUAAUCUAGAAAAAUGGGCUUUCUGGCUUAAAUCUUAAAAUCUGUAGUAAGGUUGAUAAAACAAGAAACAUAUCUAUAAGAAUAUUAGACGCAAACUACCACUCUACUUUAAUAGCUCCUCUAACUAAGUA